rnacentral:rRNA from 1 species
UACGAAGGGGGCUAGCGUUGUUCGGAAUCACUGGGCGUAAAGCGCAUGCAGGCGGAUUGUUAAGUCGGGGGUGAAAUCCCGAGGCUCAACCUCGGAACUGCCUUCGAUACUGGCAAUCUUGAGUCCGGGAGAGGUGAGUGGAACUGCGAGUGUAGAGGUGAAAUUCGUAGAUAUUCGCAAGAACACCAGUGGCGAAGGCGGCUCACUGGCCCGGUACUGACGUUGAGGUGCGAAAGCGUGGGGAGCAAACAGG